AAGUUUGAUUCUGGCUCAGGACGAACGCUGGCGGCAUGCCUAACACAUGCAAGUCGAACGGAGCCAUGGUAUGGAUCUCUUCGGAGUGACGUACCGGAAGCUUAGUGGCAGACGGGUGAGUAACACGUGAGCAACCUGCCCUAUAGAGGGGAAUAACACACCGAAAGGUGUGCUAAUACCGCAUAAGUAUGAUUAUCGCAUGGUAGACAUAUGAAAGAUUUAUCGCUAUAGGAUGGGCUCGCGGCUGAUUAGUUAGUUGGUGGGGUAACGGCCCACCAAGCCAACGAUGGGUAGCCGAGCUGAGAGGCUGAUCGGCCACACUGGAACUGAGACACGGUCCAG
rnacentral:rRNA from 1 species